GCCAGCGCUGCGCGGCCCUCAGCAGGGCCCGGCCCGGCCCGGCCCGGCCCGGCGGCACCGCAACUACCGCAGCCACCACCGCAACUGCCGCAAGCACCGUCGAAUUGCAUGCAUUAUAUGAUCAGAAAUACAUAGAGGAUUAAUGUGCCACUGCUUAUUUUAAAGCAUCGUGUUGUCUCUAAAGGUGAGGGUGCCAGAGACAUACGGGAGCAGAAGCCAGAAAGAGCAUCUUCCAACCCACGCCAGCCUGGAGAAGCUGUGGCAGAGCAAUCCUACCCCGAUAACAAACCCCAAGACCUAACCCUCAGUGCAGCCUUGCCGGGAGCGGUAAGCACCCUGCCCUGCCCCGGUGAAAAACACCUCCUGCCAGCCAAACAGAUGCCUGCUCAUUUUUAAAAAUCUUUUCUGACUUUGACGGGCUCUGGACCAGCAGGUGACCCAUCCUCGAGCCUGUGAGCCUCCGAGGGUAUUGCUUUCCCGUAAGUGGUUGCUUUCUGAGAGGCUUCAGCAGCCUCUGUGCCCAAGGGGGCUCCUGCAGGCUCUGCUUUGCCACCCCCCGCCAGCGUGCAGGUGGGCUCUCCUGUGCAUAGGUGGGCUUGUGGUGCCCGUAGGAAGGUCACAUCCAGCUCCAAGCUUGUGGUUAAUCAAGCCUACUUGGUGAAGCUGAACAAUUUAUUCAGUGCCUGAUGAAGCCUUGGGUUUAUCUGUGGUAUAUCAAAUUGUCUUCAAAUCUAAAGCAGUUACAGGCCAGACGGGGAGGAACUAACAGCAUAACUAACAGCACAGCGGUAGUUCCUGCCCUGAUCCCGGCAGGAAUGCUGUGUGGGUGCCUCACACCAGCCACAGGAGCACAGCAGCCUGCACUGGUUGUGGCCAUUGCCAGGCCAAGGUGAGGCUCCCAUCCCCAGAACGCUCUGGCACUGUUUGCUAUUACAGAUUACAGCUUGGGCAGGCAUUGCUUAGCAACCCUUGCCAGGGACGCUGGGACUCUUCCUGCAAGGACACUCUCAGAUGUCCUGUCCUGUGCUGUCGUUUGUGUGCAGAGUUUCUGUGACACAGUGGCAGGACGAUGUGGAGGGAGCUGAAUGCCACUCAAAUGUAGCACUGAAUGGCCCUGUGUGAGUUUGUCCUCUUUCUUGCAGGAAACAUGCUCCACCCAUGCUUCACGCCCUGCCCAGCCUGCUGCUUCACCUGCAGGUGGAGAAGGAGGGUGGGUUUUCUUGGUUAAGAUGUUACUGUCUUGAGACCUGGUUAUUUUAAAAAGUUUCAUUCGAAUUCCAAGUUAAUGCAACGAUUUUGAUGAGUUGGAAGUACAGAAAAUGGUAUCCCCGUCCUGCCUGAUGUCUUCUUGGUCAAGCCUAGGCUGUAUUUAUUGCUUCUCAAAUGGUAGCUGGGUUUGCCGGGUUUUGAGAUCUUCCCUGGGGUGACAGUGCUGACUGUCCACGCUGGAACUGGCAAGUAGAGUUGAAGUUACUUGCUUUGUGAGUAAUAUGAUAAUUUUUUUUCUGAGUACCAGUUCGAUUAAACAGUUUUGUGGGGGUUGUUUUAUGAAUUUAAUGGUGCUUAAAACAUAAAAAGUAAAAUUAGACUUAUAAAAUAGGGUGCUUGUUUUAGUGGUCUAACAGAAGUGGCUCCAGUUGUUAGUGUUUAGUAUAAUCUCCGUAUGGGGCAGGCAGCUCUAGAAGUAGGAAAGCAUUUUAAACUAACAGACGGGUUUCCACACUCGCUUCCUCAACGAGGCGCCGUCUUGCUUUUCCUCUGGUCUUAAGCACGACUGCAAACCUGGUUCCGUCGGGAGUGUCCGGUGCACCCGCCCUGCAGAGCCGGCCGGAGGAGCGGCUGCCGCUGCUGUUGGCGGAGCGCCGCUGGCUCUGGGCCUGGCCAGGGCUCUUGUCUGCAUCUUGUCCCGCUCUGGGCGCGGGGAGCCCCCGGGGCCGGCCAAAGCCACGAGCGAGCCCGGCGCGGCCCAGGAGCGCUCCCCGUGCGGCGGGGCGGCGUGGGACGGAGCGGAGAGCUGCGGCACGGGGCGGAAGCGAGGGCUUCAAAGGAGCCGUCGGGGCCGAGAAGGGGCGGACAGAGCCAGCUCUGGGCUGCCGGACGCGGCGCUCCGCCGGCCACUUCUAAGGCGCUUUAAGUGUAAAGGAGAAGUGACAGGGCAACCAUCUCCUCGGCUCGGCUGCGGAUGGGAGGGUGGGAUCUUGCUUACAGCUCGUCUAUCUGUAUAUUUAAUUGCGACCUGGCUGCAUGUUCCUGUUGAGGAAGGAUGCAGAUCACAAGCGAAUCCAUAAAAACGCGGUUGACAAGCCCGGGAAAGGGAUAAGUGACAGAUGAAACGAGAGUCAGCGCAGAGCUAACUGGCAAGAGCACCAGUACAAAGUCAGAUACCUUUUGAGAGGAGGAGUAGUUUGUUUUAUUCCGGUGCUCCAGAGUUUAGUCUCCGAUCGGUGUGAUGGAGUAGAGAGGAGCUAAUGUGCCCUGUUUAGGAUACAAACAUGCAGAUUAGAUCAGACUUCAGACACCGUGUUUCAUUUAGGACAGUCAAUAAACCGGGUUUCCCCCACCGACGAAAACAUGGAAUUUUCUUUUAACGUUUUAAGGGCACUAAAACUUAUUUAAACACAACUGUUGUGCAUUCCAGUUUGGUGAGCUAUCGGGAUUUGACAGGGUCGGGAGCUGGGGCCCGGAGCUCAACGCCACCGUACUGCAAGGCUGGGGCGCUGGUAGAGUAUCAGCCCGGCUCCGGUGUUCUUCACUUUUGUAUUACUUUAAGUUUUCAAUGAGGCUGGUGUAAUUACGAGGCGUUUAACUUUUUGCCAGGCUCUUUCAUUAUGGCUUUUCAUUUGCACCUCGCUUUUAAGAGAAGUAAUAACAUUCACAGUCAGGGGCAAAUCCUGUUAAUGAACAAAUUAAAGUUCAAACAGUUAUUCAAGUUCACAGCCCCGCUCGCUGCUCCUUUAAUAAGAGUUAUACAUGUUACUUUCUCUCGGGAUCACUCCCCCUUUUAUUACUUUUUAAGCUUUUCAUAAGCACUAGCGGGCUAUACGGGCAGCUCCCAGCCUCUAAAGGGCCCACAAAUCCUGAAUGGAGCCCUAAUCCGACCUUAAUUUGGCAACUUUUGUAAAAAGCAUAAAAGCUCGGGUGCCACCCUUGUGCGCUCAGAUUAUAAUGUCGAGGGGAACAAGCUGGGCUAAGGCCCCCUCUAUCCCGCACCCACGCAUUUGAGUUGGUUCCCUCGCCUCAGGAGCUGCGCAAAAAGCCUCUGUGAGUGCCUCGUGGGUACCGCGAGACAAAUUAGAUCGAUACCCUGGGAAUUCGCACCCCCUGCCACGAUAUCUCUGCUGGGCGUGGGCUGCGGGGCGGCCGCUGCCCUCGGGCCGGCUCCUGCCCCAAGUGCCGGCAACGUGCGCUAGGAAAAAAUAAAAAAGGAAAAAAAAAGAUAAACCUUGCGCUCUUCCGCUCUUCCCGCCCCUCUUCUCUUUCUUGAGACCUUCCGCGAUCAGAGUGUCUGCGCUCACCUCGGUAUUUGCAUAACAGGAAUGCGGAUUCCCCGUGUCGGGGCUGCGGGCCGGGGGCGGCGGGCACGGCCCAGCAAAGCCGCGGAGUUUGACACAGGUUCAAGGCAGCGCCGGUGCGAAAGCGCUGUCUGUGUACAAAUAGAGGAGAUCACACUCCCCAUUAUCUACCUCCUGGCGAGUGUUUGAUUUGUGACAUCAAAAGCUUAUCAAGGCAAGCUCACAAAAAAAAAAAAAAAAAAGAGAGAGAGAGAAAAAGGUACCACCUCUCUUCAUGGAGGGAGAUCCCUGCGGUUUGGGUGAUGCAGGGGAGGGAGGAAGGGGCCGGUGUUGCCAAAAGCCUGCAGGGAGGUGCCAGGGAGCGGUUCCUGCCCCGCCCGUGUCCCCGCGGGCUGGUGCGGGCGCUGCCGCGGGCGCGCAGAGCAGCGGGCGGGCCCCGCGGACGGCUGGAGGGAGGCCCCGAUCCCUCGCAGCCAUCCGCACAGAAGUGGUUUGAUAUAAUCACCAUGACAACUGCCGCCUAUAAGCAUACAAAUAAUAGAGAUGAAAUAGACAAAAGAUUAGCAUGCCAUGAAAAGUACAAUAAGUUUCUUAUUUAGCAUUUAGAUAACUGUCUUUCCUUCGGAGCAGGCUUCAAAGUUGAACCCAGUUUAGACCAAGAGGAUUAAUUCUUUCUCCCGCAUGCUUCAUUGAAUCUCUCAUUACCAAACUUUGUCUGUAUUGAUGUAAGAUUUGAUUGAAGAUUAGAGCAUUUAGCAAAUCUUGCUUUUCUGCAUGUAUCAGGCCUUUUCAAGCGCAGACCGCGCUGCCCAGUGGUCAAUACCCUUACUUUUAUCCAGUGUCUGCUUCAUUUAAACUUAAUCAACUCCCUCAAUGAACUGGAACAGGGAAACGUCCCUGAGGUAAGAAUGUUGUGCUUUUCUUAGAUAAUUCUUUGCUCCCUCUCCCAAUCCGUUGGCGUUAAACCUAAAAUUGCUCUCUGAUGAACUUAAUCAAUAUGAUAAUGACAAUUGGAGCUGAAUGGCUCGGCCUGUGCUCAGCACGGAAAAGGUAGACGGCUGUGCCCAUUGCCCAAAAGCAACUUCUCCUUUCUCGCCUCUCCUUUUGUGUUCACUUGUCCCACCUUUUUCUCUCUCUCUCCCCCCCCCCCCCCCCCCGUGACACGGAGCGCUGUUCACGCUGGAGAAUGAUGCUUCUUUGUGCGGCAGGAGGACUCGUAUGUCACCGCCCGGAGGAGCGGAGCGGAGCGAUUGGCCGGGUGAAUUAUCUGCCUUGUUGCAGUGAAUUAUUUGCGCUGUUUCCUUUCCCAGUCAACAAGUUUCUGAGCUUGACUUUGAAUUUCCUUAAGUGCCAGAGCGAGGAUACGGUGCUGGGUAAUGCAUUGCCAUGCACUAUAUUUAGAAAGCAGCUGGAAGAGAAGAUGUCCUCAGGAAUCCGGACUGUUUUGUUGUACUUGUCCCUCCCGUCCCGGCCCUGUAACGCAAACGCUCCUUCUGCAGAGGUGUGGGUCGCUACUGGGAGCUGGGCAAGGACGGGCUCUGCUGGCCCCGCGGCUCUCCUCGGCACCUCAGCAAUGUCCAGGGCAGCCAGAGGUGCCGUGGCCAGGGCAGCCUGGCUUUCCCUCCUUUGAGGGACCCCUCUCCGCCCGGGCAGCCGCAGGUUGCCCCCACUGUUCCUGCCGGGUGCCCCAGCCGCGGGCUCAGUGCCGGUUUCGGCGGACAGCGCUCCCCGCCGGGCCGGGCACCAACAGCGCCCUCGGACCCGCAGCCCCAAGCACUGAGGGGGAUGCUAAACGAGGUCCUGUCCUCUGUAGCCUGGCCCUUCGGGGAUGGGACAGGGCUCCCUGGGCACACCGUGCCGAGGGAACGUCCCCGCCUGGCUCUGAUCCAGGGCGGGAGCCCCAGCGGCACCGAACAGCGCCGGGACCGCCCCGGGGACCCCGAGCCCCGACGGCCGCACUCGUCAUGCCGGGCCCCGCGGGUGCUCCGGGCCGGGCAGCUCUGCCCGCUCCCCGGGCGGCAGCGGGGGCAGUGGCCGCGACACCGCCGAGCCAGGAGACGUCUCCGAGCCCCGUCCGCCCGGCCCUGCUCUCGGUGGGCACAGCGAGGGCGGGUCCCGGCUGGGAGCAGGGCCAGCGGCAGCCUCCAGGGGCGGGGCUUCCCACCCAUCCAUCUCUCCAUCCAUCCAUCCAUCCACUCACCCACCGCACCGCGUUCCCAGGCCCAGGGGGAUGAUCAGUGUCGGCGGGCGGGAAAGUGACGAAGUUGACGUCUCUUGAGGCCGGAAGAGACCAUUAAAUCACCUGCCUGACCUUCCGCAUCACAGGGCCGUAUUAUUCCAUCCAGUCCUAAAGCAUUAAGCCAAAUAAUUUGUGUUCGAGUAAAAUGUGCCUACAACAGUCUCGUGGUCCUGACGGUUUCAAGAGAGGGAGAUUUUGCUCUUGUCCCCAAGAGUUUGUUGUAGCAGUUAACCCUUGGUUAAGGGAUGAGCCUCGUUUCCAUGACACGUUACCCCUUGUUUAAAUCACUCCCAAAUACCAGGCUUUUAUUUUGGAACCUACUAGUCCCGUUGUUGCAACUGUGGCCGCCUCGGCUUUCCCCUUCCUUUGGCACAAGGCGCCUGGUGUUAGCCCGGGUGAGAGCCCGGCCCCUCCUCGGGCUGCCUGGGGUCUCCCGAAGCGCCCAAGCCCUCGGUCAGCUUCCCUGGUGGCUGCCGCAGGGAAGAGUCCCAGCGCUCCCAGCCGGGUAGGCCAAUGGACACACCAUUUAAAGGCACUGCGCCUGAUCCUCUCUUACUGUGAAAUCAGGGGCCAACUCCCCUUUCCGACCAAGCCAACGCACAACGGGAGAAGGGCGAGGGACCUUCUGGAGAAGCUCUGUGCUCUCUGCCGGGCAGGCAAGGCCUGGUGGUGCCUGCCUGUAUGCGGGUGGUUGGGGUGCUCUGGGCUUGGAGUAUUCGUGAAAGAGGAGAAUAUUUUAUCUGUUGAUCACCUAGGGCUGAAAAUAUUUCUCUAGUAAACGGUUGCUG